rnacentral:rRNA from 1 species
GGACUACUCGGGUUUCUAAUCCUGUUUGCUCCCCGCACUUCCGCGCCUCAGCGUCAGUCAUCGGCUGGAAAUCCGCCUUCGCCACCGGUGUUCUUCCUGAUAUCUACAGAUUUCACCCCUACACCAGGAAUUCCGAUUCCCCCUCCGUGACUCAAGCCUUGCAGUUUCCAAUGCAGUUCCCGGGUUAGGCCCGGGGUUUUCACAUCAGACUUACUAGGCCGCCUACGCGCCCCUUACGCCCAAUAAUUCCGUACAACGCUCGCCCCUUACGUGUUACCGCGGCUGCU